rnacentral:rRNA from 1 species
GGGGAACUGAAACAUCUCAGUACCCGCAGGAAAGGAAAUCAACCGAUACUCCGUCAGUAGCGGCGAGCGAACGCGGACCAGCCGAGCCCUGAGAGGUAGCAGAACCAGUUGGGAAACUGGGCGACAUGGGUGAUAGCCCCGUAUGCGAAAACUCGAUGGGCCACAUUAAGUAGGGCGGGACACGUGAAAUCCUGUCUGAAGAUCGGGGGACCACCCUCGAAGGCUAAGUACUCCUUGCUGACCGAUAGCGCACUAGUACCGUGAGGGAAAGGUGAAAAAGCACCCCGACAAGGGGAGUGAAACAGUUCCUGAAACCGGACGCCUACAAACAGUCGGAGCCUACCGUGGACCUUCGGGUCAAUGGAUUGGUGACGGCGUACCUUUUGUAUAAUGGGUCAACGACUUGGUCUUACUAGCAAGCUUAAGCCGUUAGGUGUAGGCGCAGCGAAAGCGAGUCUGAAUAGGGCGCAUGAGUUAGUAGGAUCAGACCCGAAACCGAGUGAUCUAGGCAUGUCCAGGAUGAAGGUUCGGUAAUACGAACUGGAGGUCCGAACCCACACCUGUUGAAAAAGGUCGGGAUGAGGUGUGCCUAGGGGUGAAAGGCCAAUCAAACUCGGAGAUAGCUGGUUCUCCGCGAAAUCUAUUUAGGUAGAGCGUCAGACGAAUACUCCCGGGG